rnacentral:rRNA from 1 species
GCGUUAACGAACGAGACCUUAACCUGCUAAAUAGCCCGGCCGACUUUGGUUGGUCGCCGGCUUCUUAGAGGGACUAUCGGCGUUUAGCCGAUGGAAGUUUGAGGCAAUAACAGGUCUGUGAUGCCCUUAGAUGUUCUGGGCCGCACGCGCGCUACACUGACGGAGCCAACGAGUUUUUCCCUUGUCCGGAAGGACCGGGUAAUCUUGUGAAACUUUGUCGUGCUGGGGAUAGAGCAUUGCAAUUAUCGCUCUUCAACGAGGAAUUCCUAGUAAGCGUGAGUCAUCAGCUCGCGUUGAUUACGUCCCUGCCCUUUGUACACACCGCCCGUCGCUAAUACCGAUUGAAUGGAUA